AGAGUUUGAUCCUGGCUCAGGAUGAACGCUGGCGGCGUGCCUAACACAUGCAAGUCGAGCGAUUCUCUUCGGAGAAGAGCGGCGGACGGGUGAGUAACGCGUGGGUAACCUGCCUCAUACACAUGGAUAACAUACCGAAAGGUAUGCUAAUACAGGAUAAUAUAAGAGAUUUACAUGGAUUUCUUAUCAAAGCUCCGGCGGUAUGAGAUGGACCCGCGUCUGGUUAGCUAGUUGGUAAGGUAACGGCUUACCAAGGCGACGAUCAGUAGCCGACCUGAGAGGGUGAUCGGCCACAUUGGAACUGAGACACGGUCCAAACUCCUACGGGAGGCAGCAGUGGGGAAUAUUGCACAAUGGGCGAAAGCCUGAUGCAGCAACGCCGCGUGAGUGAUGAAGGCCUUCGGGUCGUAAAACUCUGUCCUCAAGGAAGAUAAUGACGGUACUUGAGGAGGAAGCCCCGGCUAACUACGUGCCAGCCGCCGC
rnacentral:rRNA from 1 species